UACGGGGGGGGCAAGCGUUGUUCGGAAUUACUGGGCGUAAAGGGCUCGUAGGCGGCCAACUAAGUCGGACGUGAAAUCCCUCGGCUUAACCGAGGAACUGCGUCCGAUACUGGAUGGCUUGAGUUUGGGAGAGGGAUGCGGAAUUCCAGGUGUAGCGGUGAAAUGCGUAGAUAUCGGGAGGAACACCAGUGGCGAAGGCGGCCGCCUGGCCUGUAACUGACGCUGAGACGCGAAAGCGUGGGGAGCGAACCGG
rnacentral:rRNA from 1 species